rnacentral:rRNA from 1 species
UACGUAGGGGGCAAGCGUUGUCCGGAUUUAUUGGGCGUAAAGAGCGUGUAGGCGGCCCGAUAGGUCUGCUGUGAAAACUCGAGGCUCAACCUCGAGAUGUCGGCGGAAACCAUUUGGCUAGAGUCCGGAAGAGGAAAGUGGAAUUCCUGGUGUAGCGGUGAAAUGCGCAGAUAUCAGGAGGAACACCAAUGGCGAAGGCAGCUCGCUGGGACGGUACUGACGCUGAGGCGCGAAAGCGUGGGGAGCGAACAGG